GACAAGCGGUGACCCGGCUGAGCGCAGCCCUGAGACGCCGUCGCCAAGGGAGGCAGAUCUACCUGUCUUCCUGUGUGACGGGCGGUCACGCUGUCGCUAACCUGCACCUGUCUUUUUAACUCCAGCAGACACAGCGCGCAGACUCAUCACGCGCCUCUGAGUCUGUCAGACGGGGACCCCCGCAGUACCCCCACACUUGCCGCUUCUCCUCCCAGCCCAACUCGUCAAGCUUCUUUUCUAUUCAAACAUUACGAGAUCUUACAGGCAUGAAACGAUUCCUCCGAGCCGUUUCUAUCUUCUGCUUCUUCUGUCGAGUCAUCGGAGACCUGUGGGUGACAGACAGCGUUGAUCUCUGUUAGCGCCUGGUGAUUUCAGAACAGACCAGCGUUCCCUAAAGUCCCCCACAAGAGGAGCGCAGAGGGCAGAGAGAGCCCAGGAAGAGAGGAAGGCAGACACCGGCCCUUACUGUGCUUCUUGGCGCGCUCCACAGCCUCGUG